rnacentral:rRNA from 1 species
AGUGAACGCUGGCGGUAGGCCUAACACAUGCAAGUCGAACGGCAGCACAGGAGAGCUUGCUCUCUGGGUGGCGAGUGGCGGACGGGUGAGGAAUACAUCGGAAUCUACCUUUUCGUGGGGGAUAACGUAGGGAAACUUACGCUAAUACCGCAUAAGACCUUCGGGUGAAAGCAGGGGACCUUCGGGCCUUGCGCGGAUAGAUGAGCCGAUGUCGGAUUAGCUUGUUGGCGGGGUAAAAGCCCACCAAGGCGACGAUCCGUAGCUGGUCUGAGAGGAUGAUCAGCCACACUGGAACUGAGACACGGUCCAGACUCCUACGGGAGGCAGCAGUGGGGAAUAUUGGACAAUGGGCGCAAGCCUGAUCCAGCCAUACCGCGUGGGUGAAGAAGGCCUUCGGGUUGUAAAGCCCUUUUGUUGGGAAAGAAAACUUGCGGGCUAAUACCCAGCAAGUCUGACGGUACCCAAAGAAUAAGCACCGGCUAACUUCGUG